rnacentral:rRNA from 1 species
CAGCAGCCGCGGGAAUACGAAGGGUGCAAGCGUUAAUCGGAAUUACUGGGCGUAAAGCGUGCGUAGGCGGUGAGUUAAGUCUGCUGUGAAAUCCCCGGGCUCAACCUGGGAAUGGCAGUGGAUACUGGCUCGCUAGAGUGUGUCAGAGGAUGGUGGAAUUCCCGGUGUAGCGGUGAAAUGCGUAGAGAUCGGGAGGAACAUCAGUGGCGAAGGCGGCCAUCUGGGACAACACUGACGCUGAGGCACGAAAGCGUGGGGAGCGAACAGGAUUAGAGACCCGCGUAGUCCCUGUCUCUUAUAC